rnacentral:misc_RNA from 1 species
AAGUCGUAACAAGGUUUCCGUAGGUGAACCUGCGGAAGGAUCAUUAUCGUGGGGAUUCGUCCCCUCUAGAUAGACACCCUUUGUUUAUGAGUACCAAUUGUUUCCUCGGCGGGCUUGCUCGCCGUUGGACAACCAAAAACCUUUGUAGUAGCAGUAUCUUCAGUUAAAAAAUAAAUAUUAAAACUUUCAACAACGGAUCUCUUGGUUCUG